AUCACUUUUUGGCCUUUCGGCUAAGACCAAGUGUAGUAUCUAUUCUUAUCAUCUUAAUAUCUGAUACAUCCUCUAUCUCAGGACAAUAUAUUAAGUGGCCCUUUAGAACAGGCUGAUGGGAGAUGGAACAAGAGAUUGCUUUGUUUCAAGCAUUGAGCUAUCAAUCUAGUAUUGGAGUACCUCCAGGAGUGGCACGUGCACA
rnacentral:snRNA from 1 species